rnacentral:piRNA from 1 species
CUCAAACUCAGAGAUCCACUUGCC